rnacentral:rRNA from 1 species
GGAGUUAGCCGGUGCUUCUUCUGUGAGUGAUGUCCUUCCUGCCGGCUAUUAACCCGCAGGCCUUCUUCCUCACUGAAAGUGCUUUACAACCCGAAGGCCUUCUUCACACACGCGGCAUGGCUGGAUCAGGGUUGCCCCCAUUGUCCAAUAUUCCCCACUGCUGCCUCCCGUAGGAGUCUGGGCCGUGUCUCAGUCCCAGUGUGGCUGAUCAUCCUCUCAGACCAGCUACGGAUCGUCGCCUUGGUGAGCCGUUACCUCACCAACCAGCUAAUCCGACAUAGGCUCAUCCGAUAGCGCGAGGCCCGAAGGUCCCCCGNUUUCCCCCGUAGGGCGUAUGCGGUAUUAGCCUGGGUUUCCCCAGGUUAUCCCCCACUACCCGGGCAGAUUCCUAUGCAUUACUCACCCGUCCGCCGCUCGCCACCAGGGAGCAAGCUCCCCGUGCUGCCGCUCGACUUGCAUGUGUAGCNGCCGCCACGCGUCAUCUGAGCGAGAUACAACUACUACGUACGUAGAGACGGGCGGUCGGCGACGGACGGCGAC